rnacentral:pre_miRNA from 1 species
UAGAAUAGGGGAGCUUAACUUAUGUUUUUGAUGUUUAAGUUAAAAGCCUCUGUUCUAAG